GCUGUGAGAGAAGUGCAGGACCCCACACUUGGUCUGGUUGGAGCUCACCUCAGGGGGGCACAUCUCUGCCCUUGUAAAGGUUUGGGGCGGUUUAGUUGCUUUAUGCAGGAGAAAACAAAGAUCAGAACGAGCCUCUCGGAGGUCACCGGCUAAUUCUGCUAUUUAGCCAACGCUUUCCCCUGACAAUGCAGCCCUCCUGCUGCAGGCUGCCUAAUCUGCUUACUCAGCCGGUGCUUUCAGCCCAGCAAAACAAAAGCUCGUGUUCCUAAAGUGGUCAGCUCCCAGGAGUCAGCCCCCACAUCUCAGCACGAAGAAACACAGCACGUCCUGAGCCUAUUUGCUUUUUGGAUUACCUUCCCAAAGCUUUUAGAUGGGAUGCCAGGGAUGCCAGAAGUUGAAGUGAGAGGAGCUUCAAUGGCUUCUUCAGGGAUCUUUGCCUUCCUUGUAGAGCAGCUCACGACUUUAGGAUGUGGGACGCUUGUGAAAUCAAAGCCUCCACACGUCAGCAUCCAUCCUGGCUGCUUAUUCAAAGCCCCCAGCAGCAGCAGCCUGGCCACACAGUCCACCAGAGCAGGGAGUCCCUCUGCUGCAUCUGCUCCUCCAGGCAAAAGCAGAGAAAUCCAAACCACAGAGAGGGCUGUGGAUCACCCCACCCGGCUCCUGCCGGCCUGCAGACCCCACUGACCUGUCUGUCCUCAGCCCAUCUGCUCUGCAGCUCGCUGCCCUGCACACUGGGAUGCAAGGAGGGGGAAGCUCACUGCGAGGACACACGGGUGAGCCGAGGAGCUGGACCGCCACGCGACAGAGGGGUGCAGCACAAAGCAUAAAGGCAGCAGCUCUGCCGGCCUGGCUGCUCUGCCCUGGAACGCAGCAUGGGAACCACUGCCCAGUGCAAAUCUGUUCCUCAUUAUCCUCCCCGGCUGCUGACUGAUGCCGGCUCAGUCACCGACGACUUUCCUUGCGGCCUAGGAUGGCUCACAUCCAUCAGACAGGAGGCUUUUUGGGGCAGAUUGGGGCUGGCAUCCAUCCCUCCAAGGUAAUUCAGGAGUGACAGUGAGUCGUCACCUCCACUACAGGCUUUUGCUGAAGGCAGGGGAUGGGGGUGGCUGCAGGAGAGAGGGGGUGCGGCGGUGGCACUGGGGCAGCAGGAUGCUCUGAGCCUUAUCCCAGAUGGUGGCUGGUGGCUGCAGAGUGAUGAAUAGCUGCCACCGUGCCAUCCUCUGUCAGAUCAUUGGCAGGUUUGGUCACCAAGAGCUUGGUAAAGAUGCUCAGUGAUAGAUCUGGCACUGAAACACGCCUGGGGUGGGUGAGUCCCUGUAUGAAGUGGGUAGAUUGUGAUGGGGUUCUCAUGCAGCUUCUCCUUCACACCCUUUGACCCUCCUGAAAUGGGGUUUGGUUGGGUCACAACAGACCUGCUGCUUGGCCUGAAAAGGGGUGAUGUGAGGUUGUGGCUGUGCAACUCCAUGGGCAGAAGGGGAUACAGGAGGGAACGUGCAGAUAGCUUAUACCAAACAGGCCAGAGGAGAAGCCAGCCCCUUCCCAUCUGCAUUCAAGGUACUGCCUGGGGAUAUCAACAAUCCUACAGAGCAGUACAGGAUCCUGUGCUGCAGAUUGCAUGUCCCACCGCUUAAUAAAAACCCUCCCCAUCCCCACCAUCAGCAUCCCAUAACACCAACCAGAAGAGGCUCCCAGGCUUGUCUUGGUCCCAUGCAAUGAGUUACAGGAGGGUGGGAGCUGAGUGCCCACACCAGCAGAAUGGAACAAUGAAUGGACUGAGGUCUCCAAAAUGUGUCCACCCACACAAGCUCAGCCUGAACGCUUUGCCUGAAUUCAUGUUUGCCUUCCCCCUGUUCUCACGUGUAUGGCCAAAGGCUCUGCUGUGAUUUGUGCUUGCUGGAAGGCUCGGGAAGAAGUGGGAGGUGAGAAGCUGGCUGCCCAUUCAGCAGCUUCCCACCACUUACGGCUGUGUAGGUCAUUGUGCAAACAUCACAUGAGGGAACCAGAAGCGCUCCAGAGAUGGAGCAGAAUGAAGAAGAGUGUGAGGUGUCCUGUGGGUCAACAACACCAUUGCUACAGCAGAAAACAAUAAACUGGCAGUUCAAGAAAAGGAUUAUUCCCCUCAGUUUGAUGCCUAGCUGCACGCCAGCUCCAAUUCAGGGCUCCUCAGAAUAAGAUACAGAUCUGGUCAGUCUAUUUCUGAAGCUUACCUGUGGGCCCAGUACUCAUUGUGCAAUGGGAAGGCUGUGAUUUUGAGACACUGUGCAAUGCUGAUAUGGGAGAUGGGCAGCACCGACCCUCACCCACAGCCUGGCUCUUGCAUCCUACCAAUACCCCAUUGCUGGCACUGCCUCCCACCCUCUGCUGAUUUCACAAGUUCUGGGAAAAAGGGGGAAACUGGAGGAAUGGGAGAAAGUAAAUCGUGGUGGAAAAAAUGUGCGGAUCUAAUAGCAGUGCUGGGAGAAGCCUGUGUGCAGAAUGGGCUGCAGCAGUCAGACAGCUCCAGGACGGGGUUGCUUAUAAUAACAGUCAGAGGGUUGUAUGUUCUGGGUUACAGCCUGACAAGCAGCUAAUUUGUUGAGCCUCGCUCCAUCCUGGAGAAGCAGAGGUUUGGGCACAUGUGCUCGUGGUUUGGCCCGGUUUUUGUGUUUUUCCACUGAGGCACUUUGGUAUUUUUAGGCUGUAAGAGACGAAACUGUGCUGUACUGGAAGGAACAGCACCGUGCAGGCAGGAAAGGGAAAGACAGAGAUUGGAGGAAGAGAAUAAGCACUGACAAAACCCCACGGGUGCAGGAGGGGCCGCAAACCAACCUGGAGGAAGCAAAGCAUGCAGAGG